GGCUUCCGGAGCUAACGCGUUAAGUCGACCGCUGGGGAGUACGGCCGCAAGGUUAAACUCAAAUGAAUUGACGGGGGCCCGCACAAGCGGUGGGCAGUGGUUUAAUUCGAUGCAACGCGAAGAACUUACCUGGUCUUGACAUCCAGGUGCUGCAUGGCUGUCGUCAGCUCGUGUUGUGAAAUGUUGGGUUAAGUCCCGCAACGAGCGCAACCCUUAUCCUUUGUUGCAACUCAAAGGAGACUGCCAGUGAUAAACUGGAGGAAGGUGGGGAUGACGUCAAGUCAUCAUGGCCCUUACGACCAGGGCUACACACGUGCUACAAUGGCGCAUACAAAGAGAAGCGACCUCGCGAGAGCAAGCGGACCUCAUAAAGUGCGUCGUAGUCCGGAUUGGAGUCUGCAACUCGACUCCAUGAAGUCGGAAUCGCUAGUAAUCGUGGAUCAGAUGCCACGGUGAAUACGUUCCCGGGCCUUGUACACACCGCCCGUCACACCAUGGGAGUGGGUUGCAAAAGAAGUAGGUUACCACUUUGUGAUUCAUGACUGGGGUGUGUGUAACAAGGAACCGAGGG
rnacentral:rRNA from 1 species